rnacentral:misc_RNA from 1 species
AAGUCGUAACAAGGUUUCCGUAGGUGAACCUGCGGAAGGAUCAUUAGCACAUGAUUUACUCAUGUAUUAACCACAACCGUAACCGUUUUUCCUGAUGUCGUGGAGAGUCGUAAGCGGACGAUUGGUACGCCUUGAGAUUACUCGGCUUGCCCGCUUGCUAGGUGUCCAUCAGCUUAAUUGCUGAUGAGGCUUCGCUCAGUGCGGCUUCAGCGUAAUGAUUUCCGUAACUACCGCUUGUACCAUUGUAUAGUUCGGGAACGCUUCUUUUUUACUUUUGUUUUCUUACUAAUAUCUUUGUACAUGAGGUUGAAUUCCUAGCUUCUCGGCUGGUUGAGUUUGACUGAGUGUCGCAACAUUAAUUCGAUACAACUCGUAGCAACGGAUAUCUUGGUUCUC